rnacentral:rRNA from 1 species
GCCUAUCAUGCAGUCGAGCGAACAGAAAAGGAGCUUGCUCCUUUGACGUUAGCGGCGGACGGGUGAGUAACACGUGGGCAACCUCACCCUAUAGCUUUGGGAUAACUCCGAGGAAACCGGGGCUAAUACCGAAUAAUCUCUUUUGCUUCAUGGNNAAAGACUGAAAGACGGUUUCGGCUGUCGCUAUAGGAUGGGCCCGCGGCGCAUUAGCUAGUUGGUGAGGUAACGGCUCACCAAGGCGACGAUGCGUAGCCGACCUGAGAGGGUGAUCGGCCACACUGGGACUGAGACACGGCCCANACUCCUACGGGAGGCAGCAGUAGGGAAUCUUCCACAAUGGGCGAAAGCCUGAUGGAGCAACGCCGCGUGAGUGAAGAAGGUUUUCGGAUCGUAAAACUCUGUUGUAAGGGAAGAACAAGUACAGUAGUAACUGGCUGUACCUUGACGGUACCUUAUUAGAAAGCCACGGCUAACUACGUGCCAGCAGCCGCGGUAAUACGUAGGUGGCAAGCGUUGUCCGGAAUUAUUGGGCGUAAAGCGCGCGCAGGCGGUCCUUUAAGUCUGAUGUGAAAGCCCACGGCUCAACCGUGGAGGGUCAUUGGAAACUGGGGGACUUGAGUGCAGAAGAGGAAAGUGGAAUUCCNNGUGUAGCGGUGAAAUGCGUAGAGAUNUGGAGGANCACCAGUGGCGAAGGCGACUUUCUGGGUCUGUAACUGACGCUGAAGCGCGAAAGCGUGGGGAGCAAACAGGAUUAGAUACCCUGGUANUCCACGCCGUAAACNAUGAGUGCUAAGUGUUAGGGGGUUUCCCCCCNUAGUGCUGCAGCUAAAG